AUAUUUGGUACUUUCACGCAUAAAUCUUUCGCCUUUUACUAAAGGGUUCCAUGGAGAGGAACAUUGAGGGUUUCAGCUAAUUUUUGGGGGAAUUGCUUUCAGCAUAGCU
rnacentral:snRNA from 1 species